GAUGGUUGGGUUUGGAUUGUUGUACUUUUUUUUUUGUUCGUUGCAUUUUUAGGAACAAAAAAAAAAGCCCAACCCUUCACACCACUUCAUCCGCAUCUC
ensembl:miRNA